rnacentral:rRNA from 1 species
GAUGAACGCUGGCGGCGUGCCUAAUACAUGCAAGUCGAACGGAAAGGCCUCUUCGGAGGUACUCGAGUGGCGGACGGCUGAGUAACGCGUAGGAAUGUACCCCAAAGUGAGGAAUAACUGCCCGAAAGGGUAGCUAAUACCGCAUGUGCUCUAAGGAGUAAAGCUUCGGCGCUUUGGGAACAGCCUGCGUAAGAUUAGCUUGUUGGUGAGGUAAUGGCUCACCAAGGCGACGAUCUUUAGCUGGUCUGAGAGGAUGAUCAGCCAGACUGGGACUGAGACACGGCCCAGACUCCUACGGGAGGCAGCAGUAGGGAAUUUUCCACAAUGGACGAAAGUCUGAUGGAGCAACGCCGCGUGCAGGAUGAAGGCCCUUGGGUUGUAAACCGCUUUUAUAUGUGAAGAAAAUGACGGUAGCAUAUGAAUAAGGAUCGGCUAACUCCGUGCCAGCAGCCGCCGUAA